rnacentral:sRNA from 23 species
GUCAGCACCCCCGGCUGAAGCACGGGGGCUUCAUGCCCCCAGCUUCAGGUAGCUGACCAGCCUAAGCCCUUUGGGCUACGUUUUUAGGGUCAUGGCACCGACAAAUGCUUUCCAGUUUAUCGCCCUGCC